UAGUCUCUUUCUAUUUGUAUAGCAACUUUUUUACAGAAGGAAUGAGGUGUUGACAAUACUUCCUUCACCCUGUUCACAUCAGUAUUGUUAUUAAAAAGUUCAUUAAAACAAUUAUCGAAGUCCAGUGAAUUUUUUUCAGAUAUUGUAUUCUGUAUACACGUGGGGAACAAAUCUAUGUCGUUGAUACUAUUAUUAAAUUUAGGUUUGCACUGUAUUUGCCUUUCUGUUUGCGUGUAUACUUCUUGCAUAACAGGAGGAAGAUUAACAGUGGAACGUUCUGUUUGCUUUAUUCUUUCUACGUUCGAAGCGUGCGCCACGUGUUCCCGUGAUAUUACGCAAGGAGAGAGGGGAAACUCAUUAGGAGGGAGAGAGAAAUGCCAGCUGUGGACGCUGUGGUUAAAUUCCAUCUGUGGCAGCGGCCGCAUAUACCGAUUAGUUGGGAGUAUUGUGUCAACCGGCUGCGUAAACGUAUGGAGUGAUCACUGAGAAAAUAUUAUAAGAGGAUCGUUCGCGCAAUC
rnacentral:misc_RNA from 1 species